GACGAACGCUGGCGGCGUGCUUAACACAUGCAAGUCGAACGGGAUUUAGUAAACAGAAGCCUCGGUGGAAGAUUACUAAUGAGAGUGGCGAACGGGUGAGUAACGCGUGAGCAACCUGCCUAUGACAGUGGGAUAGCCUCGGGAAACCGGGAUUAAUACCGCAUAAAAUCGUAGAAACACAUGUUUUAACGGUCAAAGAUUUAUCGGUCAUAGAUGGGCUCGCGUCUGAUUAGCUAGUUGGUGAGAUAACAGCCCACCAAGGCGACGAUCAGUAGCCGGUCUGAGAGGAUGAACGGCCACAUUGGAACUGAGACACGGUCCAAACUCCUACGGGAGGUAGCAGUGGGGAAUAUUGCACAAUGGGGGAAACCCUGAUGCAGCGACGCCGCGUGAACGAAGAAGGUAUUCGUAUCGUAAAGUUCUGUCCUAUGGGAAGAUAAUGACAGUACCAUAGAAGAAAGCUCCGGCUAAAUACGU
rnacentral:rRNA from 1 species